rnacentral:misc_RNA from 1 species
GAAAUGCGAUACUUGGUGUGAAUUGCAGAAUUCAGUGAAUCAUCGAAUCUUUGAACGCACAUUGCGCCUUCCGGUAUUCCGGGAGGCAUGCCUGUCCGAGCGUCAUCAAAAACCACUCAAGUAGUUUUGCUUGGUAAUGAAAGAAGAGUUUGCUUGCGGAUUCCCUUUCGAAAUUCAAUGGCGGAGAGUCUCAUGAUUUCGGCGUAGUAAUAACUUAUUCGCUUGGUCAUUGUAACAAUCCUGCCCCAAAUCCCCAAUUCUAGUGUUUGACCUCGGAUCAGGUAGGGAUACCCGCUGAACUUAA